rnacentral:rRNA from 1 species
UACAGAGGGUGCAAGCGUUGUUCGGAAUUAUUGGGCGUAAAGCGCGUGUAGGCGGCUUGGCAAGUCGGGUGUGAAAGCCCUCAGCUCAACUGAGGAAGUGCGCCCGAAACUGCUGAGCUUGAGUGCCGGAGAGGGUGGCGGAAUUCCCCAAGUAGAGGUGAAAUUCGUAGAUAUGGGGAGGAACACCGGUGGCGAAGGCGGCCACCUGGACGGUUACUGACGCUGAGACGCGAAAGCGUGGGGAGCGAACAGG